GACGAACGCUGGCGGCGUGCUUAACACAUGCAAGUCGAACGGAAAGGCCCUGCUUUUGUGGGGUGCUCGAGUGGCGAACGGGUGAGUAACACGUGAGUAACCUGCCCUUGACUUUGGGAUAACUUCAGGAAACUGGGGCUAAUACCGGAUAGGAGCUCCUGCUGCAUGGUGGGGGUUGGAAAGUUUCGGCGGUUGGGGAUGGACUCGCGGCUUAUCAGCUUGUUGGUGGGGUAGUGGCUUACCAAGGCUUGACGGGUAGCCGGCCUGAGAGGGUGACCGGCCACAUUGGGACUGAGAUACGGCCCAGACUCCUACGGGAGGCAGCAGUGGGAAAUAUUGCACAAUGGGCGGAAGCCUGAUGCAGCAACGCCGCGUGCGGGAUGACGGCCUUCGGGUUGUAAACCGCUUUCGCCUGUGACGAAGCGUGAGUGACGGUAAUGGGUAAAGAAGCACCGGCUAACUACGUG
rnacentral:rRNA from 1 species